CUACGGGCGGCACCAGUGGGGAAUAUUGCACAAUGGGCGCAAGCCUGAUGCAGCCAUGCCGCGUGUAUGAAGAAGGCCUUCGGGUUGUAAAGUACUUUCAGUCGUGAGGAAGGUGGUGUUGUUAAUAGCAGCAUCAUUUGACGUUAGCGACAGAAGAAGCACCGGCUAACUCCGUGCCAGCAGCCGCGGUAAUACGGAGGGUGCGAGCGUUAAUCGGAAUUACUGGGCGUAAAGCGCAUGCAGGUGGUUCGUUAAGUCAGAUGUGAAAGCCCGGGGCUCAACCUCGGAACUGCAUUUGAAACUGGCGGACUAGAGUACUGUAGAGGGGGGUAGAAUUUCAGGUGGAGCGGUGAAAUGCGUAGAGAUCUGAAGGAAUACCGGUGGCGAAGGCGGCCCCCUGGACAGAUACUGACACUCAGAUGCGAAAGCGUGGGGAGCAAACAGGAUUAGAUACCCGCGUAGUC
rnacentral:rRNA from 1 species